rnacentral:rRNA from 1 species
CGUAGGGUCCGAGCGUUGUCCGGAAUUAUUGGGCGUAAAGGGCUUGUAGGCGGUUCGUCACGUCGGAAGUGAAAACUCAGGGCUUAACCCUGAGCCUGCUUCCGAUACGGGCGAACUAGAGGAAUGCAGGGGAGAAUGGAAUUCCUGGUGGAGCGGUGGAAUGCGCAGAUAUCAGGAGGAACACCGGUGGCGAAGGCGGUUCUCUGGGCAUUUCCUGACGCUGAGUAGCGAAAGCGUGGGGAGCAAACAGGCUUAGAUACCCUGGUAGUCCACGCCGUAAACGGUGGGCACUAGGUGUGGGGAACACUCCACGUUCUCCGUGCCGAAGCUAACGCAUUAAGUGCCCCGCCUGGGGAGUACGGCCGCAAGGCUA